rnacentral:rRNA from 1 species
AUGGUUUGCCCAGUUUGUCGUUGUCCUGGUGCCCCUUGCGUUCCAUUUGUGCCAGCCGGUGAAGUCCCAGAAGUUUUUGAUGUUAUCCUUGAUGAGUAUUGCUUUAGGAGGAUGUACAUUCCAUGCAAUGUGAGGGGUUUCUUAGCCAAUUAUAUCGAGGAGCACAGGAAUGUCGCAACAACUUUCAAGCACAAGAGUACUGAGCCUGCUAUUCUCACUUACGAGAGUAGGUCUUAUGCUUCAGAUUUUAAGCAUCGAAGCAACUACUCGAAGUUUUGUGGGAGUGCUUGGUUUGAGUUCAGCAAUGAUUAUGCCCUUCGUGCUGGCGAUCGUGUGGUUUUUAUUCUGGACAACUCAUGCUUUGACCUCAAAGUAGAGACUUUCCGUGAUGGUGAAAGGAUUCUUCCUUUACCUUCUGUUGCUGUGAUGCCCCGUGGCUUGGAGUUCAACUAUCACAACAACCGCUUGUUUGUACGGUCACUUUUCCGCACUUCAAGCUUUGUGCGCUGCAUCCCGUUCGUUCAUGUCACGACUGCCACUAAUACUGUGAAGUUCCUCAUGAAAAUCCCAAAGGCUGUUGUCUGUAGCUUGAGGAGGUUUGUUGAUAUGCCAGUUACUGCUAGAAUCUCUCUGGAAGCUUACAUGGGUGAUACUCAUGUUAUUAUGCCAUCAUCUUUCAAACUCUGCAAACAAGAUGGGAGGAUGGUGAUCGAGAAGAUCAGUUUCAGUGAGUUCAUCUCAGCCACUUCGUACGAGAAAGACAAUGUUGUGCUCAUCACUUUCAACGAGUCAACUUAUGAUCGUUCAGUUUCAAUUGUCUUCCAGUGGCUCCUGUAG